GAUGAACGCUGGCGGCGUGCCUAAUACAUGCAAGUCGAGCGAACAGACGAGGAGCUUACUCCUCUGACGUUAGCGGCGGACGGGUGAGUAACACGUGGAUAACCUACCUAUAAGACUGGGAUAACUUCGGGAAACCGGAGCUAAUACCGGAUAACAUGUUGAACCGCAUGGUUCAACAGUGAAAGACGGUCUUGCUGUCACUUAUAGAUGGAUCCGCGUCGCAUUAGCUAGUUGGUAAGGUAACGGCUUACCAAGGCAACGAUGCGUAGCCGACCUGAGAGGGGGAUCGGCCACACUGGAACUGAGACACGGUCCAGACUCCUACGGGAGGCCGCAGUAGGGAAUGUUCCGCAAUGGGCGGAAGCCUGACGGAGCAAGGCCGCGUGAGUGAAGAAGGUCUUCGGAUCGUAAAACUCUGUUAUUAGGGAAGAACAAAUGUGUAAGUAACUAUGCCCGUCUUGACGGUACCUAAUCAGAAAGCCACGGCUAACUACGUG
rnacentral:rRNA from 1 species